rnacentral:lncRNA from 1 species
AUCUGAAGGCAUUGAAAAGCAUCAAGAGCCGAUUCAAAAAAUUAUUCAAGAGUCUUACCUGAGUGCUCUUUCCCUCCUGUUUCCAUGUUUCUCCCUUUUCUCACAGCCUCUGAAAACACUUCAGAACCACAAAAGUUACCUGCUGCACUCGUAUCAGAGGCGACAACCCCGGCCUCAGAAAUCCUCUCCACGCUGGCUGAAGCAAUACCCUCUCCUACUGCUGAACCUGCAGAUGUAACAGCUUCAACAGUCUCUCCUACUGCUGAACCUGCAGAUGUAACCACUGCCCCUGCAGAAGACACAACCCCUGGAGCAGAAGUCCCGACCGUGCCUACAACAGCUGAAAUCCCAGUGCCAAGUCCAUCUGCUGCAUCAGUCCCUUCAACUCCUGAAACAACAACCACUGCCACUACACAGCUCAUUCCCCUGCCUGAGUAUGUGAGGAUGAUGUUGCUGAAAUACCUAAAUAGCCUGUGCCAGCCAAGGAGACCUGGGAUGCCAAGAAUAAUAUUGGAAGGGUGUGUAAGUGACCCAACCUGUGGGAAUAACCCUUCAUCAGGCCAGAGGCUUUUCCAGCUCCGUUACAAAGCUCCUGUAAACCAUGGAAUGUGCCUACGGUGCAAAGUAUUAGGGUGCAACAUACUCCCUCCUCCCCGACCCUUCCCAGGGAGCUUAUUCCCUCCUCCCUUUCCCCGACCCUUCCCAGGGAACUUAUUCCCUCUUCCCUUUCCCCGACCCUUCCCAGGGAACAAGUUCCCUCUUCCCUUUCCCCGACCCUUCCCAGGGAACAAACUCCCUUCUUUCAGACCCUUCCCAGUGCACAGGCUCCCUGUUCCCCAGCCCUUCCCAGGCUUCAGGAGAAGAGCCAGAAGCACAAGUGAUGGAGUCGUUGUUGUCUUUGUCCCCAAUUAA